rnacentral:sRNA from 1 species
AAAGGCGAGGAAACAGCGAGUGCCUCGCAUUGGUGCAAAAAUUCGACUUGGAUUACAUUAUCCAUUGAGCUCAAAAAUCCGAUCAUAAAGAAGACUUAGAAGUGACAGGCAGGCUCACACAAAUUAAACUAUCAUAAAUUUUAAAGCGUGUAUAUAAGCCACUUAUACAUUUUGUUAUCACAUCUUACAUCACACAUAAAUAAACUCAAAGAGCCUACAUUCUUCUUUAAAACAAAACUCCCCUCAGCUAAGUUGAUUUUUCUUCGGUUUCAUGCAUCACCAGUACCAUAUACCCUCGAAGAUGGUAUUUAAAGCAAGCAUGGCGCUGGGCCCAAGAAAUGUGCUAGUCUUUUACUUUUAUUACGUUGUGAACCGCCGCAAAGGUCGCUGCUCUACCUUAUACCGAGUACUCAGUCAGUAUGGCACCUCUUCGCUACAGGGCGCACACUGCACGAUGAGAGAGUGUGUGUGAGAGAGAGAGAGAUCAGAAUGAGUAAGCGCAUGGAGAGGUAGCAGCCUUCACUGGAUCGGUACUCCUUGAACGAUGGUUUGGAUGGGGUUCCUUGGUGCGCUUAGUUGGUUUGGCUGGUGUUGCCUUUCGUCCACGCCUUUUCUGGGGAGUAACAGACGCCUGCAUAGGUGGUAUGUGAGCCGCUCCCUUCAAAGAAUAAGAGCAUUUAGGAGAAGUAAGCAAGGAGCUUUGCAGCGGCUUUCUUCCACGAUUGGAAGUAUUUGGAGUAUUCGCUUGCGAUGAGGACCAAUUUCUUCCAAAAGAAGAAUGCUGCUGAUGUUAACGGUGUCGAACAACUCUUCUGCUGUGACUCUACCACAUGGCA